GCUAUUUAGGCAGACAAGCUUCAGCUGUAAGUGAAGGGGUUGGGACUUUGUUACUGGGGUCUGCCACUUCCAAAGGGGCCAAAGAUUUAGAGCAGGAAAAGGAGUUAAAGAUUAUAUUUUCUUCAUUUUCUAGAUAAAGAAAUUUAAGCCUCGAGGUUUUCAAUGAAUUUCUAACUAUUACACAGUGAAUGGGAAGGUUGGAAUUCAAACCCAGGUCCUCCGAUUCCAAAUCCGCAACUCUUCCCAUUGAUUCACAGAGAAAUUUAGGAAUGGCUUUCUAAAGUGAUGUGUAUCCAUGACGGGCCAAUGACAUUACAUAUUCCAGUGAACCUAUUCUGUGAUACCCUGGCAAUCCAAGCAGAAUUACAGCUCAACCAAAACCAACUGGAUGUGUAA
rnacentral:lncRNA from 1 species